rnacentral:rRNA from 1 species
UACGUAGGGUGCGAGCGUUGUCCGGAAUUAUUGGGCGUAAAGGGCUCGUAGGCGGUUUGUCGCGUCGGGAGUGAAAACGCCGUGCUUAGCACGGCGCUUGCUUUCGAUACGGGCAGACUAGAGGUAUUCAGGGGAGAACGGAAUUCCUGGUGUAGCGGUGAAAUGCGCAGAUAUCAGGAGGAACACCGGUGGCGAAGGCGGUUCUCUGGGCCUUACCUGACGCUGAGGAGCGAAAGCAUGGGGAGCAAACAGG